GGAAAAUGGUGAAGUAGUGUCUCAGUUCGAAGCACUACCAGUUCGAAGCCCAAGCCAAUUGCAGAGUAAGGAAUAAUCUCUUAACAUCUUAAUAACAAAUAUAUUAGAGAUAUGGUUAACAUUCGUAGUACUAAAGAUAUUCCCCUCACCGUGCAUCCAUUCCUCCAGCUCCACCAUCUCGCCGAGUGCCAGGCAGAUUCACUGCUCCUCAACCUGGAGAAAACUGUCUAGCAUCUCAGCAUAGGGCAGGACUGCAUCACCCUAUAUCCUCUCAACUCCCUGCACCCGCAUUUAACAUGCAGAGAGUUACUCAAGGUAGGGACUGAUAUAUUGAAAACUGAAAUAUUAAUGAAUAGAAAGGCCCUAUUGGUAUUAUCAGUCAUGGUUAACAGAUGACUCUCGCACACCGCCCACCUCACUAUGGGCCAGGAACUGCAGUCCCUCCUCAACUCCCUCCACCCCCGGCACCAGCCCUCAACAUGGAGCCUUCUUCAAGCCUGGCCUACAGACCAACAUGGCGAGGGGGAAGGAUGGCCGAUACCAUUCCCUGCUCUGCGGCCGAGUUCCAAAUCCUUAGCUUGCUGGAAACCAUCAAACAGCAAAACGACCAGCUUGUGGCUAAGGUGAACCUGCUCACCAGUAGGAUGAACAGCACCCCGGGGCCAGAUGCGGAGAUGCCAGACAGCUUUCAGUUUCCCCUGGAACAAUUGGAGACAGUGGAGGCAUUUGAAAUGUUUUUAAAGGAACCGUCAAAUGGCCCAGCUCGACAGAGAGUGGUGAGUUUUCUUACUUAAUCUGAAUGGUGCCAUUAGGUUUAUUGAUUGCCCGUGAUUA